UGCAGCAGGAAGGACUCCAUUUAUCCAGCUCUGAGGCUCUGCCCUUGCACCAUAGCCACCAGUACUUAAGGAGCAAUAAGCUACAGGUACAGCCAACCUCCCUGUAACGUUCUUCUGUGCUGAAAUACCCAGUUUUCCCAGAAGCACCAUUCUGGACCCCUUAAAUUGUGAUUACUGAGACCUCAGAGAAAGCAUUGGCCGAGACUGCCUCUUGCACCUCCACCAGCUCAGAUAUUGCCACCUAAGUGAGAAUGAUCAUCAUAUAGAGUGUGUGAGACCACAACCUGGUGACCACGUCAGCUCCACCGCUAGCCGAAAAAGAAAUAUCCGGGCCAAAGGCACUUGGAGGAUUUCCAGAGACCAGGCCUCUGCUUAGCAGGAGAGGACUCUGUGGUGUUGGUGAUCAGAGACAUCAGGAAAAUGUACAAAGAGGAGUGUUGGCAGACAAGCAUCUGAGAUAUCAUGACUUUCAUUGUCCAGAACUGGAGUGAUUAAGGGGUGAUCUGAUCAAAGUCUUCAAAACAAGGUUGGAGCAAGCAACAUGCACAACAUCUCUCAACUUAUCACCUAAUGAUACAUAAAUGAGUUGCUUGAGGCUCUGCAUGCCAAGAGAGCUGAACACCUCCCGUUUCCUCAUGAUAGAGAUCGAUAAGGCAAAAAUCUCUAACUUUCCCAAUGCAUGGGGAGCCUUUGAUUGCAGUAUUUUUCACAAAGGUCAAGUACUUAUACAUGCUAAGUUCCCUACUGUCUUUUUGUAAUUUUUGCAUGGUCUAUUGGGACUUCAGUGGCUGUAACUUGACCUGUAAAAGGGUAUUGAAUUUCAAUGGGACAGAUUGCAAACGGCCUUGCAGAAUGACAUUGAGGAGCACAGUCCGUCAAACCUGACUUUGGAUUGCAUCAUAAAUGACAGGAAUCUGGCCAGGCUAACUAAUAUCCAUAGGCAGGGAAGCAGCCCAGCGUCAAUGGUGAGUUGAAUGUAAUCUGCUACUUUAAGCGCGACAGUAGGAUCAGGCUUCACAGAUUCCAUGAUAGAACCUCAGCAUUCCUCACAAGGGAAUGGUAAAGAUAGCACAUUUCAUGAGGAAAGUAGUGAAGAAAUAGAUGUAAACUGACAAGAAUCCAGUGGUUUCAUGUUCACUGUUAUCAUUUAUAGUUGAUUUUUUUUCUGAUACCUGAUUGACUUAGUUAGCUGAUUUUCAAUUGUUCAGCUGCUGUGGUGGAUUUUGAACUGAUUGUUCUAGGUCAUUAGUUUAGACUUCUUGGUUAUUGCAUCCACUGUGCUAUAGUACCCCUUAAUAAUGUCAUUUAACAUAGUAUUCAGCCAGGUGAAGGUAAGACACAGCGUGUAUUGGGGUGUGCCAUUUCAUCAAAUCAGCAUUGCACACUGAUUGAUGAAAUAAUCUGAUUUCCCUUCUUGGCUUUCUACUGACAAUCGUUUGUUUCAAAAUAAAACAUCUUUACAAUAGGGUAAAUUGGAGAUACAAUUCUAAAGGUGGUGCAGGAGCAGAGGGACAUUGCUAUGUAUUUACACAGAUCAUUGAAGCUAGUAGGAAAAGGGGACAAGCCAGUAUCCUUAGCUUUAUUAAUUCAAUCAGAAUUUGCAGAAGCAAUUACAAGAAUGGUUCCAGGAAUGAGAAUCUUCCAUGAUUGAGUCAUUAUCUUUUGUGAUGAAGUCAGAUGUCACAUGACACCUGGUUAUAGUCCAACAGGUUUAUCUGAAAUCACAAGCGUUUGGAGCGCUAUUCCUUCGUCAGGUGAAAUGGGCUUCCCCACUUAGAAACAUAAUGCUAAAUUUGAUCACAUUACGGUCACUCAUCACAAAAGAUUCCUUUCCAAUAAAAUUCUGAAUUAAUUAGCCCAUUUUUCAUUACGUUCUCAUGGCACACUGGAUAGUAAAUUGUAUAUCAUGCCCUGCUAUUCUGGAAUUGUACAAAGGUAAAGCAUUUUAAAGCAGGUACACAAAAUUUCCCAAUUUACCUGAUUUUCAGACCAGAUUGAUAGAUAUGUGAAGGUCUGGCUUUUUUUUGAGAGUAUAU